UUCUAAAAAUUAUCUUAAGGUACAGGGAUGUUUUUUCUCUGUUUAAAAGGGAAUCUAGUAAGUUUUAAUAGCAAAGCUAGAGCUGCCCCCGCAACUGUGAUUGGUUAGUGUUCUUUUUGAAAUGUCACUGGAUUUCCUGGGAAGACAAUAAAGAAUACCGUGACCCAGAAGCCAGGAGACCUGCCUUAUGAUAAUGGACGAU
rnacentral:ncRNA from 2 species